rnacentral:rRNA from 1 species
GACGAACGCUGGCGGCGUGCCUAAUACAUGCAAGUAGAACGCUGAAGGAGGAGCUUGCUUCUUCGGAUGAGUUGCGAACGGGUGAGUAACGCGUAGGUAACCUGCCUGGUAGCGGGGGAUAACUAUUGGAAACGAUAGCUAAUACCGCAUAACAGUAGAUGUUGCAUGACAUUUGCUUAAAAGGUGCAAUUGCAUCACUACCAGAUGGACCUGCGUUGUAUUAGCUAGUUGGUGGGGUAACGGCUCACCAAGGCGACGAUACAUAGCCGACCUGAGAGGGUGAUCGGCCACACUGGGACUGAGACACGGCCCAGACUCCUACGGGAGGCAGCAGUAGGGAAUCUUCGGCAAUGGACGGAAGUCUGACCGAGCAACGCCGCGUGAGUGAAGAAGGUUUUCGGAUCGUAAAGCUCUGUUGUAAGAGAAGAACGAGUGUGAGAGUGGAAAGUCACACUGUGACGUAUCUACCAGAA